AGAAAUGGAAAGUGGAGAGAGAGAGACAGAAAAGAAAGAGAGAAAACAGGAGAGAGAGAACGAAAACGAAGCAUCCGUGCGCGGAGUGCUCUCCUGAGAAUAAAUCAGUUUCCUUCUCCUGGGUGAUGGGGAUCUGGACUUCUGGAGCUUCAUUCUUCCUUCCUCUUGCUGUCCAUGAUCUUCUUUAGCAAAGAAACCCACCCAGAAUGCGCAACAAGCUUCGAAUAGAAGCUACUCCCGUUCCCAUUGUCAAUGCACACCUGCUGCAGCUGAUUCUUUCCCGAAUGCUACUGAAGUCGCUGCAAACACACCCAGCUCUACAGAUUCUGUCAUGGCGUAUUGCAGACAUGUCUUGGGCGAUUGGGGGCAAAUGGCUCAUGUGUUUGGUCCCAAAUUUGGUCUCCAUUGAGGAUUAGAAAUCACAAAAGAAGAAAAAUGGAAGAAAAUGGCAUAGGAUAGCAGGGGAGGCAAUCUGCCUCUCUCCGCGUCGGGUCCUGGGUGUCAAAGUGUCGGGACAGCACACAGACACAGUCUGCUGAGCAAGCGGGCGCGCGCGGGAGACGCGUCUAGGCACCAGCAUGUGCAGAGGCAAAUGCCCUGGCGCGCGCAUGCUCUGGUAACCUGCCUAGACGCCGAGAGGGAUGCGUGGGCACGGGCCUGGAGACAUGAAUUCGGAUUCGCAGGAUUUAUUCCCCGUCUAGGCACCAGCAUGCGCAGAGGUUAAUGGCCUUCGGGUUUUUGAGAGAAGAAAAUGGAAAUUUAG